rnacentral:ncRNA from 17 species
CGGUUGCUUGCGAGUAGAUAUUAAAGCCUCAUUUCAUACACCACGACCAAAACGAUUAUCAGGAAGGAUAAGUUUUAUUUCCUUCUUCUUGUCCGUCUCUAACCGUUUUCUCGUGAGCAGCCUAUUCUAUUUU